rnacentral:rRNA from 1 species
AAUUAAUAUUUGUUGUAAAUUUUUAGUAUUAAAAAUAAUUAUAAAAUUUAAUGUUUAAGUAUUUUAUAAAGAAAAAAUAAUUUUAAUUAUAGUUAAAUAGUAUUGUGAAAGAAUAUUGAAAUAAUAUGAAAAUUAAUUAUAUUUAAAGAAAAUUUAAUUUAUUGUACCUUGUGUAUCAGGGUUUAUUAAAUAAAAAUUAUUUAAUAUAAUUUUCUCGAUUUUAAAAGAGUUAAUGUACUAUAAAAGUUAAUGUAAUAAUAUUAUUUUUAAUAGUAUAUUAGAAAUGAAAUGUUAUUCGUUUUUAAAGGUAUCUAGUUUUUUAAGAAAUGAAUUUAAUUCAGAAAUUUUAUAUUUUUUAAUUAGUUAAAUUAGUUAAAAGAAUAUAUUGUUUUAAUAUUUUAUGGGAUAAGCUAUAAAAUAAAUUAUUAAAAAUUAAUAAAUUAAUUAAUAUAUACAUAUAAGCUUAAAAAUAGUUAUUAUUAACAAAAAUGUUAUAAUUUAUAUUAUUAAAUAAAUUAUUUAUUAUAUUUUAAAUUUUUAUUAAAAUAUUUAUUUAAAUUUUAAAAAUAAAUAAAUAAUGAUAAAAUUAGUAUAUUAUUUUGUAUAAAUAUGUUAUUAUGAUAAGUUUUUAUAAAGAACUCGGCAAAAUUAAUGUUCGCCUGUUUAACAAAAACAUGUCUUUUUGAAUUAUAUUUAAAGUCUAACCUGCCCACUGAAUAUUUAAAUGGCCGCAGUAUAUUAACUGUGCAAAGGUAGCAUAAUCAUUAGUCUUUUAAUUGAAGGCUGGAAUGAAUGGUUGGACGAAGCAUUAACUGUUUCAUAGAAAUUUAUAAUAGAAUUUUAUUUUUUAGUCAAAAAGCUAAAAUAAAUUUAAAAGACGAGAAGACCCUAUAAAUCUUUAUAUUUAGGUUAUUAUAAUUUUCUAGAAUUUUUUUUAUUAUAAUGAUUUAUAUUAUUUUAUUGGGGUGAUAUUAAAAUUUAAUAAACUUUUAAUUUUUAUUUACAUUAAUUUAUGAAUUAUUGAUCUAUUAUUAAUGAUUAAAAAAUUAAGUUACUUUAGGGAUAACAGCGUAAUUUUUUUGAAGAGUUCAUAUCGAUAAAAAAGAUUGCGACCUCGAUGUUGGAUUAAGGUAUAAUUUUAGGUGUAGGUGCUUAAAUUUUAAGUCUGUUCGACUUUUAAAUUCUUACAUGAUCUGAGUUCAAACCGGUGUAAGCCAGGUUGGUUUCUAUCUUUAAAAAUUUUUAAUAUUUUAGUACGAAAGGAUUUAAUAUUAGAUAAAUUAUUAUUUAAAUUGUUGAAUGUAAUUAACUAAAUUA